UACAGAGACUGCGAGCGUUAUUCGGAUUCACUGGGCGUAAAGGGUGCGCAGGCGGCCGUGUGUGUGAGGCGUGAAAGCCCGGGGCUUAACCCCGGAAUUGCACCUCAAACUACACGGCUAGAGCAUUGGAGAGGGUAGCGGAAUUCACGGUGUAGCAGUGAAAUGCGUAGAUAUCGUGAGGAACACCAGAGGCGAAGGCGGCUACCUGGACAAUUGCUGACGCUCAGGCACGAAAGCGUGGGGAGCAAACAGG
rnacentral:rRNA from 1 species